rnacentral:rRNA from 1 species
AACGAACGCUGGCGGCAGGCUUAACACAUGCAAGUCGAACGCCCCGCAAGGGGAGUGGCAGACGGGUGAGUAACGCGUGGGAACAUACCCUUUUCUACGGAAUUGCUCUGGGAAACUGGCAUUAAUACCGUAUACGCCCUCCGGGGGAAAGAUUGUAUCGGGGAAGGAUUGGCCCGCGUUGGAUUAGCUAGUUGGUGGGGUAAAGGACUACCAAGGCGACGAUCCAUAGCUGGUCUGAGAGGAUGAUCAGCCACAUUGGGACUGAGACACGGCCCAACCUCCUACGGGCGGCAGCAGUGUGGAAUAUUGGACAAUGGGCGCAAGCUUGAUCCAGCCAUGCCGCGCGAGUGAUGAAGGCCUUAGGGUUGUAAAGCUCUUUCACCGAUGAAGAUAAUGACGGUAGUCGGAGAAGAAGCCCCGGCUAACUUCGUGCCAGCCGCCGCAGUAACAC